rnacentral:rRNA from 1 species
UACGGAGGGUGCGAGCGUUGUCCGGAAUCACUGGGCGUAAAGGGCGCGUAGGUGGCGCCGCAAGUCAACGGUGAAAGCUCGACGCUUAACGUCGAGUCGGCCGUCGAGACUGCGGGGCUCGAGCACUGUAGAGGCUCAUGGAAUUCCGGGUGUAGCGGUGGAAUGCGUAGAGAUCCGGAAGAACACCGGUGGUGAAGGCGGUGAGCUGGGCAGUUGCUGACACUGAGGCGCGACAGCGUGGGGAGCAAACAGG